rnacentral:lncRNA from 1 species
AUGCACCGAAGGAUUGGACGAAGCACCGAUGAACCAAUGAUAUAUCUAACAACAUGUGAUUAAUGCUUUGUAAUAAUUGUCUAGAUCGAAGUAGAUUUAGUUGUAAUUAAGUUAGUUUAAAAUAUAAUUAGGUCAACUCAAUUAGGGGUUAAUUGGGCCUAAAGUAUUGUUGUUUUGUGCCAAAAGAAAGACUCAUUCACUAACCCAAAAGUUGGGUCAAGUGGUGGCACCGUCGAUCCAAGCGGUGGCACGACUAGUGGCUCAAUCUUCAAGACACAGUCUCCAAGACUAUGUUAGGCGAUAGUACCGUCAAUCUAGGUGGUGGUACUGCUCAAUAUUAGUAUUGCAGGUAGUGAUACUAUCAGGACCCGAAAAACCUGAGAUGUAACCUUUUUUUGCUUCAAUUUUGAAACAAUUUAGGGCCUAUAAAUACCCCUCUCAAGUGUUAGGUGAAGUUUAAGAGAGGGGUGAGUGAUUGUAAAGGUUAUCUCCUAAACCUAUGAAAAUAAGAAAAUGAGUGUAAAAGGAUAGUUAAUCUUCACUCGUUGAAAGAAGAUUGGUAGUGGAAGUCGGUGCCUCGAGUAAAAAGGAAUUGAGAGUGGAUAUAAGUCACGACGACCGAACCACUAUAAAUCUAGUAUGUUCUUUCCUUCAUUACUUAGCUACAUUCUACACUUUACAUUUACUCUAAGUUAUUACUUGCAUUACUUUCUGAUACGGGUUUUGUCAAAACGAUUUUAUCGAACAAAAAUUUUUAAAUCAAUGACGUUUUUAUUGUUGCACUAAUUCAUCCAUUCUUAGUGUUAUAUUGAUCAUAACAGUUGGUAUUAGAGCCACGUUUUUCUCAUUUGGUUUGACACCCAAGAGAAAUUAUUUUUUUUUUACUUUCAAGAGGGUCACCUUAUCAUUCGUCCUCCUAUGUUCAAUGGGACGAACUAUACUUAUU